rnacentral:tRNA from 1 species
GGCGGCGUAGCUCAGUUGGUAGAGCAUACGGUUCAUACCCGUAGUGUCACUGGUUCGAGUCCAGUCGCCGCUACCA